UACCUUUGCCGCCGCAUUGGUAUUCAUUACCUUGUAUGCUAAAGUAUGGAUUUAAAAGGGAAUUCGGUGCGAGUCCGAAACUGAGUCUCCAGCUGUGAGUUCCGCUAAGAGUUUUGCCCUGUGAAUGUCAUUUUUUCGGCGAAAGGCACGAAAAGAGAAGACGGCAAAACGGGAACGAGUCAGAAGACCUACCAAUGUGUUUAGAUAGAG
rnacentral:ncRNA from 2 species